rfam:Myotis davidii contig128261, whole genome shotgun sequence.
UGGACCUUUAUUUUUAUUCAAUUUCUUCAUUAGGUGAAAACAACUCUUUGUAAAUGUCCUACAGAGAUACAGUAGCUUUCUCUUCACCCUUUGCAAGGAAAAAGCGUGGAUCAUCCCAUUCUACUACUGCCAUCA